UACAGAGGGGGCAAGCGUUGUUCGGAAUUACUGGGCGUAAAGGGCGCGUAGGUGGCCACCAUAAGGCCGCGGUGAAAGUUCGGGGCUCAACCCCGGAUCGGCCGCGGCGACUGUGGGGCUCGGGUACUGUAGAGGCAGAUGGAAUUCCGGGUGGUAGCGGUGGAAUGCGUAGAGAUCCGGAAGAACACCAGUGGCGAAGGCGGGUCUCUGGACAGUUCCUGACGCUGAGGCACGAAGGUC
rnacentral:rRNA from 1 species